AUGGCUUUCUUUUCAUUGUUAAGACUCUGCCUUCUUUCUCUGACACACGCAGCAGCUGGACUUCAGUCAUCUGAUCAUUUGAUGAUGUUUGCCUUACCAGGAGAUAGUAUUUUUUUACCAUGUGACAUACCCUCUAUUGAAUCCUGCUCCUCUAUUAACUGGAACAUGGCUGGAGAGUUUGGAACACUUAUUGAGGUGGUGAAAGCUGGAAGUGUGACGGCUCCAAACAUCCUCAGGGUCAACCUGCAGUGGGACUGCUCUCUGAAGAUUAAUCACCUGGUACUCAACGAUGCACGACUAUACUCUUGUAACAAUGGAGCACUCAAUUCAAAUGUUUCGCUACGGAUUCUUGAACUUAUUGAGAACUUGCAUCGUGCACAUACAGACACAAUAGAGCUUCACUGUUUCCUCAACACAUAUACAGGAUAUAAGCCUUGCAACAACAGGGGGAUGCAUAUCAAGUGGAGUACUGAAGAUAACACACCAUUAAAAGGAACUAGAUUUGGCUUUGAAAACCAAUCUGAAUGCUUUUCUAAACUGUUCAUCAAGAAGAAACUGACAGACCAUCACAGGAAAUGGAAAUGCCAGCUAUUUCAGAAUAACACAAUUAAAGCCGCCAUCAGUUACACAACAACAGUAAAAGAUGGUAUAGAGGAAGUAUUUGCUGCAGUGGGUGACUCAGUGUCACUCUUCUGUGGCAACACUUCCUCUCUUGCGGGUGGAACCGUGGAGUGGGCUGUGGGUGAAAGAACACUAACAGAUGAUGUCUCACUUCAUGAAGGCCAAACAGUUCAUGUCAAUAAAGACUUGACACUGGUCAUUAGCAGUGUGAGUGCAUUGCAUGCUGGGGACUACCAGUGUUCAGAGUCCACUGAUCAGCAAAAAGUGUUUAACAAAGUCAGGCUGCAUACCCUCGAUGUUACUUUGGAGUACAAGCCAGGGGGAGAUAAUGCCACCUUGACUUGUGUGCUCAACUGCUCUAAAGAAUGUGAAGAAGACUUCAGUUUAACUUGGUCUGGAAGAAGCCAAAACAGCUGGGAGAGUGAUUUAAUGAGUGACAGUAACAGUCUCAUUAACAGGCUGUUUCUCCCAGAUUUGUCAGCAACAUCGGAUGAGUUAGCCUGCCUGGUGCUUAGAGAGGGUGAUGUGAUGGCAUCAAAGAAGUGGCGCACUGCUGACCCUCUGCGAACACCUGCGUGGUUAGCCCUUCCUCUGGGCCUCCUGAUAUGUGUAGCUGCUGGAGGACUCUAUAUAUACAUGAAGAGAAAGCACAUCAAUAAUGCAGGAAAUGACCAGACAAGCAUUGUAAUGACUCAUGUUUAUGAGGUCAUUCUGGAUGCAGCUAAUGAGGAACCGCACCAGCAGAGACAAACCAAACGAGAAGCUACCACUACCACCACCACUGACAGUUUCUAUGAUUUAUUACAGGCUGUUAACUAG
rnacentral:lncRNA from 1 species